UCCAGAUUCUCUCCCCAAGCCUUCCCUCUCAGCCUGGCCUGGCCCAGAGGUGGCCUCAGGAGCCAACGUGACCCUCCUGUGCCAGGGGCCCUCGUGGAGUGGUAGCUUGGUUCUGCACAAGGAUGGAGAUGAGAAAAUGUUGCCAAGCACUCAAGAUGGGGCCAAGUUCUUCCUGACCCACGUGACCCCCCAGCACUCUGGCAAUUAUAGCUGCAGCUACCAGCUUCCCACCAAUGGAAGGCUCUGGACAGAACACAGUGAGCCCCUGCAGCUUAGAGUGACAGGUUCACAGCCCAGUGACACCCUCAUUAUCAUCCUCAGCUGUGUUUCCUCCCUCCUCCUCCUCCUCUGCCUUCUCUUGCUGGCACUCCUCUGCCAAGGAUCCAUCCGUGUGGGGUCUUCACAAGGAGAGAGCCCUAGGAGGUGUCUUUCUUUUCCUUGCCUUUCUUGGACUACCUGCCUGCCCCAUCAGCCUGAGGGCCCCAGAGAGGAGACCCUGUAUACAGAAGUGGCCAAGAAGAGACCAAGAGAACGAUUG
rnacentral:lncRNA from 1 species